rnacentral:rRNA from 1 species
UACGUAGGCAGCAAGCGUUGUUCGGAAUUACUGGGCGUAAAGGGUGCGUAGGCGGCUUUUUAAGUUUGGUGUGAAAUCUCCCGGCUCAACUGGGAGGGUGCGCCGAAUACUGAGAAGCUAGAGUGUGGGAGAGGAAAGUGGAAUUCCUGGUGUAGCGGUGAAAUGCGCAGAUAUCAGGAGGAACACCGGUGGCGAAGGCGGGUCUCUGGGCCGAUAUUGACGCUGAGGAGCGAAAGCGUGGGGAGCAAACAGG